rnacentral:rRNA from 1 species
CUGGUUGAUCCUGCCAGACCUGAUUGCUAUCGGAUGGAGAUUAAGCCACGCAAGUCGCACGUAGCAAUACGUGGCGUACGGCUCAGUAACACGUAGCUAACCUGCCCUGCAGACGCGCAUAACCCCGGGAAACUGGGACUAAUUCGCGAUAGGCCAUAAUUUCUGGAAUGAUUCUUGGCCUAAAUGGCUGUGAGCAAUCACCGCUGCUGCAGGAUGGGGUUGCGGCCGAUCAGGUUGUUGGUGGGGUAAUGGCCCACCAAGCCUAUAACCGGUGCGGGCGUUGAGAGAUGGGGCCCGGAGAUGGACACUGAGAAAAGGGUCCAGGUCCUAUGGGGCGCAGCAGGCGCGAAAACUUCGCAAUGGGCGAAAGCCCGAUGAGGUUAUUCCGAGUGCCUUCCGCUGAUGGAGGCUUUUCUUACGUCUAAAUCGCGUGGGGAAUAAGGGGAGGGCAAGUCUGGUGUCAGCCGCCGCGGUAAUACCAGCUCCCCGAGUGGUCAGGACGAUUAUUGGGCCUAAAGCAUCCGUAGCCGGCUCAGUAGGUCUCAUGUUAAAUCCACCGGCUCAACCGUUGGUCUGCAUGAGAUACCGCUGGGCUAGGAGGCGGGAGAGGCGGACGGUAUUCCUUGGGUAGGGGUAAAAUCCUUUGAUCCAGGGAGGACCACCAGUGGCGAAGGCGGUCCGCCAGAACGCGCUCGACGGUGAGGGAUGAAAGCU